rnacentral:rRNA from 1 species
GAACCGUUCAGGGGUAAACCUGAGGAACCCAAAAGUUCGAAUGGAGGAGAUUCAUCGUCAACGAGGCUGGCUUCGCGAUGGCUCGUGAUGUCCCCGGUGCUUAACCGUACCGGGGCACGCGGUCGUCACGCUGCGUCCGGUCGCGUCGGCGUGCACUUCUCCCCUAGUAGAACGUCGCGACCCGUUGGGUGCCGGUCUUUCGGCCUGGGUGGACGACUGUCGCAUCGUCGCGAGGCGUGUGCGGCAGACCCCCGUGUGCCUACAGUUACCCGGCUGCCCGGCGGUACGCUCAUGGUAUCGGGCCGCAAUUGUCGAACUGCGUCGGGCCCAUCUCGCCCGCCUCCUCGGAUCUCGGUGGUACCGUCCCAACGGUGCGUCUCCGAAUAUCCGGCUGGCGUAAAUUAGGCGAGAGGUGACCUCCGACUGGCCAUUGAAAACUUAACGAUACCGGUCGGCGACGCUACUGCUUUGGGUAAUCUCAGGACCCGUCUUGAAACACGGACCAAGGAGUCUAACAUGUGCGCGAGUCAUUGGGACAGCGAGGCCUAAAGGCGAAAUGAAAGUGAAGGUCGGCCCUAGCGCCGACCGAGGGAGGAUGGGCCUCGUUACGAUGAGGCUCCGCACUCCCGGGGCGUCUCGUUCUCAUUGCGAGAAGAGGCGCACCCAGAGCGUACACGUUGGGACCCGAAAGAUGGUGAACUAUGCCUGGUCAGGACGAAGUCAGGGGAAACCCUGAUGGAGGUCCGUAGCGAUUCUGACGUGCAAAUCGAUCGUCGGAACUGGGUAUAGGGGCGAAAGACUAAU